CUGUAACUUGAUAUGGGAUACGUGUGUAAAGACCUCCCUUGGCGAAAGGUGCAAAGUAUCAUAUUAUUCAUAGGAAAAGAGUAAUCCUCCAUAUCACGUUAGUGGUUUUACAACACGAAUGAAUGUGGCUGUCUAGGAGAAGGCACAUGGGGAAGGCUGCAGCUGUAGAAUUCAAAUAUUAUUCUGGGUGACAUUUUUGAAUCUCUGCUCCAGGAGGAAAGUUACACAAGUUGAGAAAAGAGUAAUCAUAUCGAGAGAUCAGCACUGGAAAAUGCUUUCUGGGUCAGAGUUACAAUACCUACCAAAAUGGUGGUUCAAGGAGAUCUGAGAUCCUGAUGUUCCAGAGCUGUCUGUACACCCAGCAUCCAUAGUUGUUUAAUGAA